rnacentral:rRNA from 1 species
CCUACGGGGGGCAGCAGUGAGGAAUAUUGGUCAAUGGUCGGGAGCCUGAACCAGCCAAGCCGCGUGAGGGAUGAAGGUACAGAGUAUCGUAAACCUCUUUUGUCAGGGAACAAAGGCGGGGACGUGUCCCCGGAUGAGUGUACCUGAAGAAAAAGCAUCGGCUAACUCCGUGCCAGCAGCCGCGGUAAUACGGAGGAUGCGAGCGUUAUCCGGAUUUAUUGGGUUUAAAGGGUGCGCAGGCGGUCUGUUAAGUCAGCGGUCAAAGCCCGGGGCUCAACCCCGGCCCGCCGUUGAAACUGGCAGUCUCGAGUGGGCGAGAAGUAUGCGGAAUGCGCGGUGUAGCGGUGAAAUGCAUAGAUAUCGCGCAGAACUCCGAUUGCGAAGGCAGCAUGCCGGCGCCACACUGACGCUGAGGCACGAAAGCGUGGGUAUCGAACAGGAUUAGAUACCCGUGUAGUC